rnacentral:rRNA from 1 species
UGGGGAAUUUUGGACAAUGGGCGAAAGCCUGAUCCAGCAAUGCCGCGUGUGUGAAGAAGGCCUUCGGGUUGUAAGGCACUUUUGUCCGGAAAGAAAUCCUUGGCUCUAAUACAGUCGGGGGAUGACGGUACCGGAAGAAUAAGCACCGGCUAACUACGUGCCAGCAGCCGCGGUAAUACGUAGGGUGCAAGCGUUAAUCGGAAUUACUGGGCGUAAAGCGUGCGCAGGCGGUUUGCUAAGACCGAUGUGAAAUCCCCGGGCUCAACCUGGGAACUGCAUUGGUGACUGGCAGGCUAGAGUAUGGCAGAGGGGGGUAGAAUUCCACGUGUAGCAGUGAAAUGCGUAGAGAUGUGGAGGAAUACCGAUGGCGAAGGCAGCCCCCUGGGCCAAUACUGACGCUCAUGCACGAAAGCGUGGGGAGCAAACAGGAUUAGAUACCCUGGUAGUCCACGCCCUAAACGAUGUCAACUAGUUGUUGGGGAUUCAUUUCCUUAGUAACGUAGCUAACGCGUGAAGUUGACCGCCUGGGGAGUACGGUCGCAAGAUUAAAACUUAAAUGAAUUGAC